rnacentral:rRNA from 1 species
UACGGGGGGGGCAAGCGUUGUUCGGAAUUACUGGGCGUAAAGGGCCAGUAGGCGGCCAACUAAGUCCGACGUGAAAUCCCAAGGCUUAACCUUGGAACUGCGUCGGAUACUGGAUGGCUUGAAUUCGGGAGAGGGAUGCAGAAUUCCAGGUGUAGCGGUGAAAUGCGUAGAUAUUGGGAAGAACACCGAUGGCGAAGGCAGCCAUCUGGACCGACACUGACGCUGAGGCGCGAAAGCGUGGGGAGCAAACAGG